GAUGAACGCUGGCGGCGUGCCUAAUACAUGCAAGUCGAGCGAACGGACGAGAAGCUUGCUUCUCUGAUGUUAGCGGCGGACGGGUGAGUAACACGUGGAUAACCUACCUAUAAGACUGGGAUAACUUCGGGAAACCGGAGCUAAUACCGGAUAAUAUUUUGAACCGCAUGGUUCAAAAGUGAAAGACGGUCUUGCUGUCACUUAUAGAUGGAUCCGCGCUGCAUUAGCUAGUUGGUAAGGUAACGGCUUACCAAGGCAACGAUGCAUAGCCGACCUGAGAGGGUGAUCGGCCACCCUGGAACUGAGACACGGUCCAGACUCCUACGGGAGGCAGCAGCAGGGAAUCUUCCGCAAUGGGCGAAAGCCUGACGGAGCAACGCCGCGUGAGUGAUGAAGGUCUUCGGAUCGUAAAACUCUGUUAUUAGGGAAGAACAUAUGUGUAAGUAACUGUGCACAUCUUGACGGUACCUAAUCAGAAAGCCACGGCUAACUACGUG
rnacentral:rRNA from 1 species